AUAUGUUGGUGUAAAAGCACAAGAAGUUUUGAUUUUCUAGGAUAAGGUGGAAAUCCUUUUCAUAU
rnacentral:tRNA from 1 species